UACGGAGGGUGCGAGCGUUGUCCGGAAUCAUUGGGCGUAAAGCGUGCGUAGGCGGUGUCUUAAGUUUGUUGUGAAAUCUCCCGGCUUAACCGGGAGGGUGCGGCGAAUACUGAGAUGCUGGAGUACGGGAGAGGUAAGCGGAAUUCCUGGUGUAGCGGUGAAAUGCGUAGAUAUCAGGAGGAACACCUGCGGUGUAGACGGCUUACUGGACCGUAACUGACGCUGAGGCACGAAAGCGUGGGUAGCAAACAGG
rnacentral:rRNA from 1 species